GUCUCUGUAGCACAGUAGGUAGUGCGUUGGACUUCUAAUCCAAAGGUCGUGGGUUCGAAUCCCACCUAAUUACUGAGAAU